AGCAGCUGCAGGCUCUGCGGGGCUAGCGGCGGCGAGCUGGGCCCCUGGGCGAGGGCCAUUCCCGGGGGGCUUGGGCACGCGGGCGAGCGACUGCGCAAGGAGCGCGCCCGGUCCGCAGUCUCCUCGUCCCCGGCGCGACUCCCCGCCCCCUCGUCUGCCAAGGGUGGGCCUGGGGCAGCCCCUUCCACACCUGCAACUCGGCAACUUCCUUCCCCGCCCGACUGACCGUCUGCUCUUUCUGGUCCGCACCCUGUGCUCUGAUUCCCCGCUCGUACCUUUCCCAGGCUCUCCGGCUGCCCCUCUGUGCUGUGCAGGGGACGCGCGACCAUCCCGCGUCUGCUCCGGCCGCCGCUGUGCAACGCACGGUUUAGCGGAUCUUGCACCUUUCUAGACGGGGGAGGGGGCGGGGAGGAGGUUGCUUCACCGUCUCGCCCAGCAAACACCAGGGAUCCGUGAUCACCUGCUCGCCAAGACCCGCGGCGUGGCCAGACCUCCUCUUCUACCGAAAAUAUUAGUCACAUGAAAAAGAAUCCUUGGAGCCAAAAAUGAGAACCAUUGAAAACAAUGCCCUGAAUCCUAGAUUUAUGAGGCAAGAGUGCCAGAAAACAGAAAUUACGUCUUAAUUCGUCCUGGUUUUGAUGUGGAUUACUUUUGUCUAGAUAACUUCAACCCAGUUAAGCUCAAUGAAACUGAACACUUCGUUUAGUAACCGGCACCAAAAAUAAUCUGACAAAGAAAUUUCGAAAUAGAACUAUUAGUGUGUUUUCACAAACUUACUCGUUUGCAACGUUAUUUCUAGGGUUUCUUCCCAGUGUCACUUCUCUGACUGAGAAAUGUCUCCCAGGCCGGUGAUUUCAGUCAUCAUCUAAAACCAAUCUCAUGUCUGCACCUGGGAAGGUAGUGUGUGUCCUGGUUAACCGCAAGGGCGCCAGAGUCAGAUAACCAAGGCUGGAUAUCCGCUUGCUAACUGGUGAGGAGACCACGGGCAUGUUACUUAUCCUGUGCAUCAAGAGGAGACUACAUGUGAUAGAUAGUUCGUAUUUAAAUGUGACAAUACAUAUGAAGCCCUUUAAAUAGGACCGGGUAUGUAGUACCUCUCCUGGUACAAUGUUAGCUACAGCUAUAUUUUUCCUCCCAGAACUCUUUCCUAUGCUCCUUUCCCCCCUUUUCACCUCUGCCAGUUCCCUCGGAUUUAACAUGUUGCAUCCUCCCUAAAUUUGCUGUGCUCCUUCUAGCGGCUUACGCACCCAGUCAGCAUUCUAAUACAGUCAUGCCUUACCUAGCCACAAGGAUAUGUUCUGAGGAACGUGUCAUUAAGCGAUUUUUGUUGUUUUGCGCACAUCAUAGCGUGUUCUUACGCAAACCUAGGUAGUCUAGCCAACUACUUGCUUUGGCUAUAUGGUAUAUAGCUAUUGCG
rnacentral:lncRNA from 10 species